rnacentral:rRNA from 1 species
AUUGAACGCUGGCGGCAUGCCUUACACAUGCAAGUCGAACGGCAUCGCGGGAAAGCUUGCUUUCCUGGAGGCGAGUGGCGAACGGGUGAGUAACACAUCGGAACGUACCGGCUAGUGGGGGAUAACCCGUCGAAAGACGGGCUAAUACCGCAUACGCUCUUCGGAGGAAAGCAGGGGACCUUUUGGCCUUGCGCUAGUCGAGCGGCCGAUGUCCGAUUAGCUAGUUGGUGGGGUAAAGGCCUACCAAGGCGACGAUCGGUAGCGGGUCUGAGAGGACGAUCCGCCACACUGGGACUGAGACACGGCCCAGACUCCUACGGGAGGCAGCAGUGGGGAAUCUUGGACAAUGGGGGCAACCCUGAUCCAGCAAUGCCGCGUGGGUGAAGAAGGCCUUCGGGUUGUAAAGCCCUUUCGGCAGGGAAGAAAUCGGCGGGGCGAAUAACCCUGCUGGAUGACGGUACCUGCAGAAGAAGCACCGGCUAACUACGUG